rnacentral:rRNA from 1 species
UACGUAGGGUGCGAGCGUUAAUCGGAAUUACUGGGCGUAAAGCGUGCGCAGGCGGUUCGUUGUGUCGGCGGUGAAAGCCCCGGGCUCAACCUGGGAAUUGCGAUGGAGACUGCAAGGCUUGAAUCUGGCAGAGGGGGGUAGAAUUCCACGUGUAGCAGUGAAAUGCGUAGAGAUGUGGAGGAACACCGAUGGCGAAGGCAGCCCCCUGGGUCAAGAUUGACGCUCAUGCACGAAAGCGUGGGGAGCAAACAGG